GCAGUCGUGGCCGAGUGGUUAAGGCGAUGGUCUAGAAAUCCAUUGGGGUCUCCCCGCAGACGUUCGAAUCCUGUCAACUGCG
rnacentral:tRNA from 2 species